rnacentral:rRNA from 1 species
GACAGAGGGUGCAAACGUUGUUCGGAAUUACUGGGCAUAAAGCGCACGUAGGUGGUCCGCUAAGUCGCGUGUGAAAUCCCCCGGCUCAACCGGGGAAAUGCGCGUGAUACUGGCGGGCUUGAGAUCGGGAGGGGUGAAUGGAACUCCAGGUGGAGCGGUGAAAUGCGUAGAUAUCUGGAGGAACACCGGUGGCGAAGGCGGCAUCCUGGACCGGCAUUGACGCUGAGGCGCGAAAGCCAGGGGAGCAAACGGG